rfam:Myotis davidii contig204093, whole genome shotgun sequence.
GGUGGUUCUUGGGUGACACACCCCAGAAUUGGGCGCCGUCCUCUCUGGUUCCGGAUGCAUCACCUGAGAACCGCA